rnacentral:rRNA from 1 species
UACGGAGGGUGCAAGCGUUAAUCGGACUUACUGGGCGUAAAGCGCCCGCAGGCGGUUUGUUAAGUCAGCUGUGAAAUCCCCGGGCUCAACCUGGGAACUGCAUUCGAAACUGGCAGGCUAGAGUCUCGUAGAGGGGGGUAGAAUUCCAGGUGUAGCGGUGAAAUGCGUAGAGAUCUGGAGGAAUACCGGUGGCGAAGGCGGCCCCCUGGACGAAGACUGACGCUCAGGUGCGAAAGCGUGGGGAGCAAACAGG